rnacentral:misc_RNA from 1 species
GAUGAAGAACGUUGUGAAAUGCGAUAAGUAAUGUGAAUUGCAGAAUUCAGUGAAUCAUCGAAUCUUUGAACGCACCUUGCACCCUUUGGUAUUCCGAAGGGUAUGCUCGUUUGAGUGUCAUUGUACUCUCACACUUCUAAUUCCUUUCGGGAUUGGGAGCGGUGGACUUGGGUGUUGCUGCUUUAGUUGUGGCUCACCUCAAAUAAGUUAGUGCAACUCUUGGUUGGACAUAGUACGGCGUGAUAAGUGUCUUCGCCGGCGCCUCUGUAAGGAGGGUGGCCGAUCGGGAGCUCUGUGCUUCAAACCGUCUUCGGACAAUCUUUGACAACUUGACCUCAAAUCGAGUAGGACUACCCGCUGAACUUAAGCAUAUCAAUAAGCGGAGGA